GGCUUCGUAGCUUAGCUGGUAGAGCGCUCGCCGCGUUGAGGCAUGGUGUUUCCGUCGUUGGUUUGAAUUCAGCCGAAGCCC